CAGUCGCCGCGGUAAUACGGAGGGUGCAAGCGUUAAUCGGAAUUACUGGGCGUAAAGCGCACGCAGGCGGUCUGUCAAGUCAGAUGUGAAAUCCCCGAGCUUAACUUGGGAACUGCAUUUGAAACUGGCAAGCUAGAGUCUUGUAGAGGGGGGUAGAAUUCCAGGUGUAGCGGUGAAAUGCGUAGAGAUCUGGAGGAAUACCGGUGGCGAAGGCGGCCCCCUGGACAAAGACUGACGCUCAUGCACGAAAGCGUGGGGAGCAAACAGGAUUAGAUACCCCGGUAGUCCCUGUCUCUUAUAA
rnacentral:rRNA from 1 species